rnacentral:rRNA from 1 species
GGCAGACGGGUGAGUAACGCGUGGGAAUCUACCCAUCUCUACGGAAUAACGCAUGGAAACGUGUGCUAAUACCGUAUACGUCCUUCGGGAGAAAGAUUUAUCGGAGAUGGAUGAGCCCGCGUUGGAUUAGCUAGUUAGUGGGGUAAAGGCCUACCAAGGCGACGAUCCAUAGCUGGUCUGAGAGGAUGAUCAGCCACACUGGGACUGAGACACGGCCCAGACUCCUACGGGAGGCAGCAGUGGGGAAUAUUGGACAAUGGGCGCAAGCCUGAUCCAGCCAUGCCGCGUGAGUGAUGAAGGCCCUAGGGUUGUAAAGCUCUUUCACCGGUGAAGAUAAUGACGGUAACCGGAGAAGAAGCCCCGGCUAACUUCGUGCCAGCAGCCGCGGUCGAACGCUGGCGGCAAGCGUUCGUUC